UCCCCUCCCAAUCGGUUUCUUCUUCCUUCAGUUUCUCUCCUCCCCAUUCUCUCUCACGCACUCUGUUUCUCCCUCUCCUUUCACCCAGCAGUUUCUUUGUGCGAGAGGCCCCAUAGUUGGUUUCUAGGGCUUCAAUUGACGACGGUCACUCCUCCCCGUCGUGCAACACCACCGCUACGAUGAGCUUCAUCGCCGAUUUCCCUCUUCACACAGUUUAUUCUCAUUUUCCUCGCCCCUCUCUUGUGAUUUGUGAGUCUACCGUCCCCUGCUCUGUGGGUUGUGUCGCCUACAAGUUCCUCGCCGGAUUUUUGUUGAAACGACGCCACCGUGCCCCACCGUGUGUGACCAAGCCGUACGUCGUCGCCUCUGUUCGUGGGCUCCAUUGUCGUAGCCGUAGUCCCCGUCCCACAUCAGAGUUUUAGGCCGCAGUCAACAUGGACAUCGGAGUCUACAGGCACCUCUCACCGGCUCCAAGGCAUGCCCUAAUCGAUUAUAUUACAUUUUUGGGUGUUGAUUCCACCGUGCGAUUAUCCCCCCAAAUUUUUAAAUUUAAUUUCUAAUUGAAUUGUUGAAUACCAAUCACAAGGUAGUAAUCCUACACUAGGCAGCGUAGUUUAACCACGAAACCAAUCGAUCUCCACUCCAGGACUAGGAAAGGUACAUGCGAGUUUUAGCGGCGUAAUUGUCGCUUAUGUUAUUGUGUGACUUGGUUGUUGGUGCUUACUAGAAGGUUCUACGUCUAUAUUCGUGUAUUUGAAAUUGUAGAUGCUAUUGAACUUAUAACUUUUGUGGUUCAAGCUCGUGGAAUGUGUGGCUGUCCGGGGUUAAUAUGUGGCUGUUUGGGUCAAUAUGUGACUGGUUGGGUUGACACAUGGUUGUUUGGGUUGACAUGUGGCUGUUGGUUUUAUGAGUGUGGUUGUUCGGGCUGUUAUAUGUGGCUGGUUGGGUUGUUUUAAUUGCUGGAAAAUGUGGUUGCUUUUGCUUGAAGUGUGUGUGACGAAUUAAUUAUGGCUGUUUGGGUUAAUUGACUUGCCGAGAGUGAGUUGGUUGGCUUGAAAUUGCGGUGGUUUUGCUUAUGGGUGUGUGAUGAAUUAAUUAAUAAUUGUGGGCUUGCGUUAAUCUGUCAUUAGAAUCGGGUAGAUGCUAUUAGUUGGAUAGGUUUGGUGCUUAUGUAGGUUAUUAAUAUAUCAAUGCAUGUUCUCAAGUAUAGGUGUUGGGAUUGCCAGAGUUCAAACUCAAAGAUUUAGACAAUACAUUGGAAGAGAUAGAUCUGGACAGUGUUGGUAACAGCUAGAAAGAGACAUGAGGUUGCUGUAAUGGGUGGUUCUCCCAAAUUGGGACUAGCCAUGGUCAAUGAAGGCACUUCCAGCAGAUUGUACCUAAAUGAAUAGAGAAUUUAUUGAAAAAGAAAUUAGCUCAAAUAGAGAAUGCAGUUUCUUGAUUAGCUAAAAUUAAAGAAAAUAUUGUUUGGAGAUGCCUUGAGCAUUCACAUCUAAUCAAAAUUUUUCCUAAAUUUUAGCUAAAAUUCUGUCUAAAAUUUUACUCA